GAGUUUGAUCGUGGCUCAGGAUGAACGCUGGCGGCGUGCUUAACACAUGCAAGUCGAACGAAGCGCCUUAUUUGAUUUUCUUCGGAACUGAAGAUUUGGUGACUGAGUGGCGGACGGGUGAGUAACGCGUGGGUAACCUGCCCUGUACAGGGGGAUAACAAUCAGAAAUGACUGCUAAUACCGCAUAAGACCACAGCACCGCAUGGUGCAGGGGUAAAAACUCCGGUGGUACAGGAUGGACCCGCGUCUGAUUAGCUGGUUGGUGAGGUAACGGCUCACCAAGGCGACGAUCAGUAGCCGGCUUGAGAGAGUGAACGGCCACAUUGGGACUGAGACACGGCCCAAACUCCUACGGGAGGCAGCAGUGGGGAAUAUUGCACAAUGGGGGAAACCCGUGAUGCAGCAACGCCGCGUGAGUGAAGAAGUAUUUCGGUAUGUAAAGCUCUAUCAGCAGGGAAGAAAGUGACGGUACCUGACUAAGAAGCCCGGCUAACUACGUGCCAGCCGCCGCCGUAAC
rnacentral:rRNA from 1 species